rnacentral:sRNA from 1 species
ACUGUAUCAGACACUAACAGGUAAGGGUCAACAAGAAAUGUGAUAUGGGGUAGAAGGUUCAAAUUCUGCCUCUAGAUAGGAGCAAGCCUACGUCCCAGCAAGACUCCCAGAUAAACUAGCCUCUUACAACCAGAGGAGUGGAGCUGAGAGAGUGAGGAGCACAAGUGCAUAUACCUUGAUAGCACCAAAUAUAAACCGGAGAAAUGAGAUACAAAGAAAGUGAACAUUUAGGAAAUGAGCCCUGCUCCCCAGGAAGCCGACUCUGCACAGUGGUCUGGAGUGCCUGAAACCAGAGCAAGGGUCUCCACCUGUGGCACCGAGCCCUCAUUCCCUAGAGUCGCAUUGCGGAGCAGGAGCUGGCCAACCUGGAGAAGUGGAAGGAGCAGAACAGAGCUAAACCGGUUCACCUGGUGCCCAGACGGCUAGGUGGAAGCCAGUCAGAAACUGAAGUCAGACAGAAACAACAACUCCAGCUGAUGCAAUCUAAAUAUCAGCAAAAGCUAAAAAGAGAAGAAUCUGUAAGAAUCAAGAAGGAAG